CAUGGCCCUUAUAAUCGACACUGUGUAUCAGGGACACAUCACUGCCUUCAUAGCUAUGCCGAGGUACACGCCCGCCAUCGACAACCACGAGGAGUUGGCGCGAAAUAGCAGCGUCAUCCCAGUCACAGAGGAGUUUUCCACUACGCAGACCCUUAUAAUGGAGUCAGACAGAGAGUCCUUCGUGGCCCUCGCCUCUCGCCUCGAGCUGCGCGACGCCUCCUUCCUGGACAGCAAGGAG